UAGGUGUAACCAAACACCCCAUUUCAACACAAAAAAAAAUUAGAAGUGCAGAUUUUUUUUCUUCAUUCUUCAUUCUCUAACUUCUCUCUACUUUCUCUCUCAUUUUCCUUUACUUUCUUGGAGGCCAAACACCACACCUUUGCUCCACCCUUACACCACCACCUUGACCCACCAUCUCCACCACCUCCGGCCACCUUAUCUCGCCGGAAAAUGGGUCCGGUCGGCACUCCUUGAAUCCAUCCGAAAAUAACACAAUAGAAGCACAAACUCUAGAUUUUUCUUAAUCUUUUGAAGAAUCAAAGCAUGGGAUUUAUUUUCUUGAUGGAUUAGAGGCUUGUACUUGAUUCAUAGACUUUUGUGUGGCUCGCCUCAACUUGGAAGACUAGAAUUUUUUUUGAAGGAUCACAGGUGGGCAUCUUGUGGUUGAGAUUUUGCUUAGGGUCAUUCUAGGAUGUAAGCUUACCCUUUUUUUUAUGAAGGAGGUUGAUUGUAAAAAUUGCUUAUGAAGUUGGAUGUAUUGAUGGAUUCGUGAUUAGUAUGUAUUAUAUUUUUUUUUGGAGGAAAUGCUUGGGAACUAUCUUGUAGCAUGAUAAUAUUUUUUUGUCUUUGAAUAGAUUAUCUCAUAUAUGUUAGGCAAUUGAAAGGUGCUAUAGCGUUUGAGGUGCACCCUCUUGGCAGGGUUUUGCCUUGCCAAGAUUGGGUCGUUACAUUCGCUCAAACGUUGAA